UACAGAGGGUGCAAGCGUUGUUCGGAAUUAUUGGGCGUAAAGGGCGCGUAGGCGGUGAGGUAAGUCGGAUGUGAAAUCUCCGAGCUCAACUCGGAAAUGGCAUUGGAAACUACCUUGCUCGAGGGUUGGAGGGGGGACUGGAAUGCUUGGUGUAGCAGUGAAAUGCGUAGAUAUCAAGCGGAACACCAGUGGCGAAGGCGAGUCCCUGGACAACUCCUGACGCUGAGGCACGAAGGUCAGGGGAGCAAACGGG
rnacentral:rRNA from 1 species